AUUGAACGCUGGCGGCAGGCCUAACACAUGCAAGUCGAACGGUAACAGGAAGAAGCUUGCUUCUUUGCUGACGAGUGGCGGACGGGUGAGGAAUGUCUGGGAAACUGCCUGAUGGAGGGGGAUAACUACUGGAAACGGUAGCUAAUACCGCAUAACGUCGCAAGACCAAAGAGGGGGACCUUCGGGCCUCUUGCCAUCGGAUGUGCCCAGAUGGGAUUAGCUAGUAGGUGGGGUAACGGCUCACCUAGGCGACGAUCCCUAGCUGGUCUGAGAGGAUGACCAGCCACACUGGAACUGAGACACGGUCCAGACUCCUACGGGAGGCAGCAGUGGGGAAUAUUGCACAAUGGGCGCAAGCCUGAUGCAGCCAUGCCGCGUGUAUGAAGAAGGCCUUCGGGUUGUAAAGUACUUUCAGCGGGGAGGAAGGGAGUAAAGUUAAUACCUUUACUCAUUGACGUUACCCGCAGAAGAAGCACCGGCUAACUCCGUG
rnacentral:rRNA from 1 species